rnacentral:ncRNA from 1 species
GUUCUCAUAAAGGGGUGCUUUAAAAAGCUGAGAUCAUACCCAUUGAACCUAGAACAGGUAAUGCUGUUUAGGAAAUAUAAAAUGUCAUUGC